GGGGAAUUUUCCGCAAUGGGCGAAAGCCUGACGGAGCAAGACCGCGUGGGGGAAGAAGGCUCUUGGGUUGUAAACUCCUUUUCUCUGGGAAGAACGCAAUGACGGUACCAGAGGAAUCAGCAUCGGCUAACUCCGUGCCAGCAGCCGCGGUAAGACGGAGGAUGCAAGCGUUAUCCGGAAUGAUUGGGCGUAAAGCGUCCGCAGGUGGCAGUUCAAGUCUGCUGUCAAAGACCGGGGCUCAACCUCGGAAAGGCAGUGGAAACUGAUAAACUAGAGUGCAGGAGAGGCAAGGGGAAUUCCCAGUGUAGCGGUGAAAUGCGUAGAUAUUGGGAGGAACACCGGUGGCGUAAGCGCCUUGCUGGACUGUAACUGACGCUGAGGAACGAAAGCCAGGGGAGCGAAUGGGAUUAGAUACCCCAGUAGUC
rnacentral:rRNA from 1 species